UACAGAGGGGGCAAGCGUUGUUCGGAAUUACUGGGCGUAAAGGGCGCGUAGGCGGCCUUCUAAGUCGAACGUGAAAUCCCCGGGCUUAACCCGGGAACUGCGUCCGAUACUGGAAGGCUUGAAUCCGGGAGAGGGAUGCGGAAUUCCAGGUGUAGCGGUGAAAUGCGUAGAUAUCUGGAGGAACACCGGUGGCGAAGGCGGCGUUCUGGACUGUCUCUGACACUGAACGACGAAAGCCAGGGGAGCAAACGGG
rnacentral:rRNA from 1 species